rnacentral:rRNA from 1 species
UACGAAGGGGGCUAGCGUUGUUCGGAAUUACUGGGCGUAAAGCGUGCGCAGGCGGCCUUCCAAGUCAGGGGUGAAAGCCCAGAGCUCAACUCUGGAAUUGCCCUUGAGACUGUGAGGCUUGAGUACGGGAGAGGUGAGUGGAAUUCCCAGUGUAGAGGUGAAAUUCGUAGAUAUUGGGAAGAACACCGGUGGCGAAGGCGGCUCACUGGCCCGUAACUGACGCUCAUGCACGACAGCGUGGGGAUCAAACAGG